rnacentral:snoRNA from 1 species
GCCAAGUGAUGAGCCCAAGGCAAGUGUGACUCCCUUUCCUCAAGUUAUGACUUCUGACCUUUGCACUUGGUCUGUAAUCUUGGUGGUUGUGUAGAAGCUUCUCGCUACCGCUGUAAGGCCAGACCAACAGUAGCUUAUCUAGCUGGUCUCUCUGAUAUUUGCUCAUUUGAGACUUGGUGUGCAGAAAUUAGAGUGACCUACAGGAUGGAUCGGUACCUAGAGUGCAGGUCAGUAGCUGUAACUUCUUGGAGGUUACAAGGAGGUAUGAGCACAUAUAUCUUUGGUAAUCUGAUGGCU